UACGGAGGGGGCGAGCGUUAUUCGGAAUUAUUGGGCGUAAAGGGCGCGUAGGCGGCCCGGUAAGUCAAAGGUGAAAUCCCUCGGCUCAACUGAGGAACUGCCUUUGAAACUGCUGGGCUUGAGUCCGGGAGGGGGUAGCGGAAUUCCCAGUGUAGCGGUGAAAUGCGUAGAUAUUGGGAGGAACGCCGGUGGCGAAAGCGACCUGCUGGACCUUUUCUGACGCUGAGGCGCGAAAGCUAGGGGAGCAAACGGG
rnacentral:rRNA from 1 species